rnacentral:rRNA from 1 species
UACGAAGGGGGCUAGCGUUGCUCGGAAUCACUGGGCGUAAAGCGCACGUAGGCGGCUUUGUAAGUCAGAGGUGAAAUCCUGGAGCUCAACUCCAGAACUGCCUUUGAUACUGGAGAGCUUGAGUCCGGGAGAGGUGAGUGGAACUGCGAGUGUAGAGGUGAAAUUCGUAGAUAUUCGCAAGAACACCAGUGGCGAAGGCGGCUCACUGGCCCGGUACUGACGCUGAGGUGCGAAAGCGUGGGGAGCAAACAGG